UACAGAGGGUGCAAGCGUUGUUCGGAAUUAUUGGGCGUAAAGGGCGCGUAGGCGGUGCGGUAAGUCGGGUGUGAAAUCUCGGAGCUUAACUCCGGAAUUGCACCUCAAACUACACGGCUAGAGCAUUGGAGAGGGUAGCAGAAUUCACGGUGUAGCAGUGAAAUGCGUAGAUAUCGUGAGGAAUACCAGAGGCGAAGGCGGCUACCUGGACAAUUGCUGACGCUCAGGCACGAAAGCGUGGGGAGCAAAAGGG
rnacentral:rRNA from 1 species